GGCUCGCGCCCGUAGUCUGGAGAAUUAAUCGCCAGGGUUGCGUUGCGGUGUGCCCCGGUUCGAGUCUUAGCGCGCCGGAUCGGCCGGUUUCCGCGACUUCUCCAGUUUACGGGAGCGAGCCCUCU
rnacentral:ncRNA from 1 species